GACGAACGCUGGCGGCGUGCUUAACACAUGCAAGUCGAACGGAAAGGCCCUGCUUUUGUGGGGUGCUCGAGUGGCGAACGGGUGAGUAACACGUGAGUAACCUGCCCUUGACUUUGGGAUAACUUCAGGAAACUGGGGCUAAUACCGGAUAGGAGCUCCUGCUGCAUGGUGGGGGUUGGAAAGUUUCGGCGGUUGGGGAUGGACUCGCGGCUUAUCAGCUUGUUGGUGGGGUAGUUGCUUACCAAGGCUUUGACGGGUAGCCGGCCUGAGAGGGUGACCGGCCACAUUGGGACUGAGAUACGGCCCAGACGCCUACGGGAGGCAGCAGGGGGGAAUAUUGCACAAUGGGCGGAAGCCUGAUGCAGCAACGCCGCGUGCGGGAUGACGGCCUUCGGGUGGUAAACCGCUUUCGCCUGUGACGAAGCGUGAGUGACGGUAAUGGGUAAAGAAGCACCGGCUAACUACGUG
rnacentral:rRNA from 1 species